rnacentral:rRNA from 1 species
GAGUUUGAUCAUGGCUCAGAACGUACGCUGGCGGCACGCCUAACACAUGCAAGUCGAACGCAGUAGCAAUACUGAGUGGCAAACGGGUGAGUAUAAUGUGGGAAUCUGCCUUUUGGUUUGGAAUAACACGAGGAAACUUGUGCUAAUACCGGAUAAGCCUUCACAGGGAAAGUUUUAACGCCGAAAGAUGAGCCCGCACUUGAUUAGCUAGUUGGUAAGGUAAUAGCUUACCAAGGCUACGAUCAAUAGCUGUUCUUAGAGGAAGACCAGCCACAUUGGGACUGAGACACGGCCCAGACUCCUACGGGAGGCAGCAGUGGGGAAUCUUGCACAAUGGGGGAAACCCUGAUGCAGCGAUGCCGCGUGAGUGAAGAAGGCCCUUGGGUUGUAAAACUCUUUCGUCGGGGAAGAAAAUGACUGUACCCGAAUAAGAAGGUCCGGCCAACUUCGUGCCAGCAGCCGCGGUAAUACGAAGGGACCUAGCGUAGUUCGGAAUUACUGGGCUUAAAGAGCUCGUAGGUGGUUAAAAAAGUUGAUGGUGAAAUCCCAAGGCUUAACCUUGGAACUGCCAUCAAAACUUUUUAGCUGGAGUAUGAUAGAGGAAAGUGGAAUUUCUAGUGUAGAGGUGAAAUUCGUAGAUAUUAGAAAGAACACCAAAUGCGAAGGCAACUUUCUGGAUCAUUACUGACACUGAGGAGCGAAAGCAUGGGUAGCGAAGAGGAUUAGAUACCCUCGUAGUCCAUGCCGUAAACGAUGUGUGCUAGACGUUGGAAACAUAGUUUUCAGUGUCGCAGCGAAAGCAUUAAGCACACCGCCUGGGGAGUACGACCGCAAGGUUAAAACUCAAAUGAAUUGA